CCCUGGAAAGGGGCGCCAGAG
rnacentral:snRNA from 1 species